rnacentral:rRNA from 1 species
CAGCCGCCGCGGUAAUACGGAGGGAGCUAGCGUUGUUCGGAAUUACUGGGCGUAAAGCGCACGUAGGCGGUUAUUCAAGUCAGAGGUGAAAGCCCGGGGCUCAACCCCGGAACUGCCUUUGAGACUAGAUGACUGGAAUCUUGGAGAGGUCAGUGGAAUUCCGAGUGUAGAGGUGAAAUUCGUAGAUAUUCGGAAGAACACCAGUGGCGAAGGCGACUGACUGGACAAGUAUUGACGCUGAGGUGCGAAAGCGUGGGGAGCAAACAGGAUUAGAUACCCCAGUAGUCCCUGUCUCUUAUAC